CCUUUUAUUUCACAAAAAAAAUACAAAGACCAAACAGACCAUGGUCUCGUUUGCCUUCAACAGUUAGGGUUUCGAGUGAAACCCUAAGCGCUGACCCCAAGUUUUUUCUCUCUCCUCGCGUCAUAUAUGUCGGAAACGGCAAAAGUAAAGGCCCACGUCAUAGUAUGGACUCAUGCAUGGCCGAUAAUGGCAAGAGCAUUUAUUGCUCUGCCAUUUCUCACCUAUUUCUGCCAAGGUUCAACCCCAGACCCGAUUGAGUUGGUAGAGCAAGGAAGGUGUCUAAUUCCAUUCACGACAAGGGCUACGCAAAAGAAAGGUAUUGGUUCUUCCUUUUAUUCAUUUUUAGUAAUUUAUGCAUUUAUAUGAUGGUUAUGUGUUAGUUUUAAAUGUUAAUAUAGCUGCUUAGUUUAUUAUUAAGUCUAUAUGUUUGUUUAGCCUGAGUUUUAAAUGUUAAUACAUCUGCUUAGUUUAUUAUUAAGUAUAUAUGUUUGUUUAGCCUGAGUUUUAAAUGUUAAUAUAGCUAGUUAGUUUAUUAUUAAGUCUAUAUAUAUAGAUAUUUGUUUAGCCUGAGUUUGAGAUGUUAAUCUAGUUGUUUAGUUUGUUAUUAAGUCUAUAUCUUUGUUUAGUAUGAGUUUAGGGAUGUUACUAUAUUUCUCAUGUUCAACUGUUGAAGAUCUUAGUUUGGGAUAUCAUGUUCUUUAGGCCAAACUCUCUGCUUAAGUACUAUAUAGCUUAGAUAAUAUUUUAUAUUUGUGUUUUGAUUAGCCAAAUACCUAUUUAGUAUUCAGUUGGAACCAAUCCACCUCUCAUGUCUGUUUUGCCUACUUACUUUGGUCAUUUAUUGAGAUUGGUUUAGAUAUUAGUUAGUAUACCUGUUCAUUGAUUUGUAGUCUCUGGCUAGAUACAUGUUCCUUAGAUUGGUUUAGGUUCAAUAUGGCCACCUAAUUAUCUGUGUUUGACCUCUGCUUACAUUAUUGUGUCUGUUAAAUACUAGAUGUGCUUUGCUGGGUGUUGAUCAUUGAUCUUAACAUGGAUUUUUCCUAAACUCAAAUAUUGCCUCAAACAAAUAACCAACAUAGUUCAUGUCUUUGCCUAUCACCACAUUUAUAGAACCAAGCUUGUAUGGAUAGCCUAUCACCACAUUUAUAGAACCAAGCUUGUAUGGAUAGUUGCUUAAGGUGCUUUGUUGCAACAUGUGGAGUCUGAACUUGGAACAUCAGAUUGUUUUUUUUUUUUUUUUGUGGGCUUGUGAGCUAAAGAGUUCAUUCUAAAAGAGAAGAUUUUACUGCUUAUGUGUUUGACAUGUUUGCCUCAUCAAAAAAAUGUAAACUGAACUUAAAACUUAUCAAUAUGUCCUCCCACCUUGUUUUAUUUUCCUCUAUGCUUUUUGUGAAACUUCUGAGUGUUUGUUAAAAAGGGAGAAAGGGAUACGCCAUGUUUUGCACUAUUCAUGUUCUGAGACUUUGUCUUAAGGGAAGUGUUGGUGUGUAAAUCCAACCUUAUGUGUUAAAUAUGUUAAACAUGUUCUGCUUAAGUUGGUCUCCAUAUUAAAAUGUUUGGUGAAGUUUGUUGGCUGAACCUGUUAGUCUCUUUGCUGUCGAAUAUAAGUCUGUAUUUAGCAUGAGCACCUUGUUUUAGUAUAAUUUGGGAUCUAUUUUAGUUUUAAUAAUCAAAAUUUAAGUAUAAUGUGGUGGCCUUCAGGGUCUAGCUGGGAUUUAGAUGCUUGUAUAUAGGGAUCUUAUUUGUCGACUGCCUAAUCUUGAGUCUCAUAGUGUUUCAAUGCUAAUGUUAGUCCAACUCUGUCAUCAGCAUGUUAAAAGGCCUAUCUUCAACUGAACUUGUUUGCAUAUGAAUUUUAUUUUCAAUUUGUUACCUUUCCUGUUUUUGCUGGGCCUGUCCCCGUAUUUCAAUGAACUGGACUAGUCUAUUUCUUGGUCUUCCAUAAAUAUAUAAUGUGUGUUAUGUUUGGUUCAUGGUUAAGAGUUCGUAUUCUUUUUAAACUAGUUGGUUAAGUGAAUUGCUAAGUAAAGAUGCCUCCUAACUGCAUUUCUCCUUUUCCCUCUCUUUGUUUGCAUGUGAAAACAAUACGGGCCACCUGGGCUAAUUUUCUCUGCCACAAACCUGUUGGACCAGAGCCCAACUUCCUUUAUCCAUCUAGUCUGCUUUGAAGAUGAAAAAAACAAAACAAAGAAGGCCCAUCGGUGAAAAUAGUUAACUGGUGGGCUUAAGUAGGCACACCAGCCUAACUUCCUCCUUUGUUUCUGAUUUCAUAUUGUAUAUGUACGUAAAUUAAGAACGCUUGAUAUUAUUGAAACCCAAAUGCAUUAGGACUUAGGGAAUUCACGUAGGAGUUAAUAUUUUUUCUCAAAGGUUCAUUAAAAACAAAUAAGGUCACGAUAUAAUAUGAUUAUCGCAUGUAAAUUGGUAAGAUUUGGACCUUACAAAAUUGUUUUACGCACCCAACGGGUAGACCAUUAAUAGGUAUGUAUAAAAAGAAUUUGGAUCAA